rnacentral:tRNA from 1 species
UGGGCUAUAAGUUAAGUAGACUGGAAGAUUUCAGCACUUCAAGUAAAGGGAGACCUUUUGGCUCAG